rnacentral:rRNA from 1 species
UGUUCCUACGGGGGGCAGCAGUGGGGAAUAUUGGGCAAUGGGCGCAAGCCUGACCCAGCAACGCCGCGUGAAGGAAGAAGGCUUUCGGGUUGUAAACUUCUUUUAAGAGGGAAGAGCAGAAGACGGUGCCUCUUGAAUAAGCCACGGCUAACUACGUGCCAGCAGCCGCGGUAAUACGUAGGUGGCAAGCGUUGUCCGGAUUUACUGGGUGUAAAGGGCGUGCAGCCGGGCUUACAAGUCAGAUGUGAAAUCCUGCGGCUCAACCGCAGAACUGCAUUUGAAACUGUAGGUCUUGAGUACUGGAG